CAUGCAAGUCGAGCGAGAAAGUUGGCUUCGGCCGACGAGUACAGCGGCGAACGGGUGAGUAACACGUGGGUAACCUGCCUGGGAGCGGGGGAUAACUUCGGGAAACUGGAGCUAAUACCGCAUACGCUUCGAGGGCUUAGGCUCGAGGAGGAAAGCUGGCCACUACAUGUAAGCUGGCUCUCCCAGAGGGGCCCGCGUUCGAUUAGCUUGUUGGUGGGGUAAUGGCCUACCAAGGCUGCGAUCGAUAGCCGGCCUGAGAGGGUGAUCGGCCACACUGGGACUGAGACACGGCCCAGACUCCUACGGGAGGCAGCAGUGGGGAAUAUUGGACAAUGGGCGCAAGCCUGAUCCAGCAACGCCGCGUGGAGGAUGAAGGCUUUCGGGUCGUAAACUCCUGUCAGGUGGGACGAAAAGGCGUCGUCGAAUAAGCGGCGCUGCUGACGGUACCACCAGAGGAAGCCCCGGCUAACUCCGUGCCAGCAGCCGCGGUAAUACGGAGGGGGCGAGCGUUAUUCGGAAUUACUGGGCCGUAAAGGGCGCGUAGGCGGCCAGAUAAGUCAAAGUGAAAUCCCUCGGCUCAACCGAGGAACUGCCUCUGAAACUAUCUGGCUAGAGCUGGGAGAAG
rnacentral:rRNA from 1 species